GCACCUUCUUUAAUCAGUAUGCAUGGGACACAAUACACACAACCCCCUUUGGCCAGUCCAGAGAAGCUUAGAAGGACUUUUUGCACUACUUCAGAUUGCGCACGAUCACUUCAGUCUGUCACAAGCCCAUCAGUCCUGCACGUGUUCAUGGAGGACAACGUGAAACUGGUGCAAACCAAGGCAGCUUCCAUCUGCAGAGGUGUCUGGGCUUGAGCAGAGUUGAAAGUCCUGUUAUGUGUCAGUGAUGUGGCCUGCAGCAAGAAGUCAGCUGUACCACAGCUCUCAGAAGGAAGCAAAACAUCUAUGGUGCAGCCAGUGUACUUGUGCAGAAGCACAGCAUGCAAACUGGAUCCUCCCUAAGCCUCUCAGCUCUGUCUUCCACCCUCUCUCUAGUGCAAUUAUGGGUGCUGUUAUCACACAUGCAAGUAUCAAUCUUUUUAUAUAAGGUCAGAUCUAACACGCAUGCAAUUGGAAAUUAACUCAUGUUGUAUAAAAUGAGGUCAUUCCAUUUCA